UCCUAUGAGGUGUAGCGGAAUCAGAAGAA
rnacentral:piRNA from 1 species